rnacentral:piRNA from 1 species
UAUUGGUGAAAGUGUUGCAGAAAUCAAGC